GUACAUAGGCGGCUAGCGGUUCGCAUAAUUGUUGCACAGAUAAAAAAAAGUGAAAAUUUCGAAUUAAAAUAUAAAAUUUAUUUUAUAAUUUUGUGAACUGAUACUUACACUUCCCGUUUUCUUAUUGCCUAAACUAUCGUAAAUAAAUAUUUUUAGAUCAUUUCUCACUAGGUGUAAAAUACCCUAUUAUUUUAAAAUAAUUGAUAAAAAUAAC